AAUCCAUCCCAUUAAUUCCUGAUCUUAAUUCUUGCACUAUAGGAGUCUUAUUAAGGAAGUUGGGGCCUAAUCCAACAUGAUGAAGAUUAGGACCUAUUUUUUCUUCUAUUAGACUCAAUGUCUAUGGUUUAAUUCCUAGGUCCUUGAUCCAUUUUGAGUUUAGUUUUGUGCAAGGUGAGAGAUAGGGGUUUAAUUUCAUUUUGUUGCAUAUAGAUUUCCAGUCUUCCCAGCACCAUUUGUUGAAGAGGCUAUCUUUUCUCCAAUGCAUGUUUUUGGCCCCUUUGUCUAAUAUAAGAUAAUUGUAGUUUUGUGGAUUAGUCUCUAUGUCCUCUAUUCUGUACCAUUGGUCUACCAGUCUGUUUUGGUGCUAAUACCAUGCUGUUUUUGUUACUAUUGCUCUGUAGUAUAGUUUAAGGUCUGGUAUAGUGAUGCCACCUGCUUCAAUCUUCCUGCUAAGGAUUGCUUUAGCAAUUCUGGGUC
rnacentral:lncRNA from 1 species